UACGGGGGGAGCAAACGUUGUUCGGAAUCACUGGGCGUAAAGGGCGUGUAGGCGGUUCGGUAAGUGGAAUGUGAAAUCCCCCGGCUUACCCGGGGAACUGCAUCCCAUACUGCUGGACUUGAGUGCGGGAGAGGAUGGAGGAAUUCCUGGUGUAGCGGUGAAAUGCGUAGAUAUCAGGAGGAACACCUGUGGCGAAGGCGUCCAUCUGGCCCGUUAGCUGACGCUGAGGCGCGAAAGCUAGGGGAGCAAACGGG
rnacentral:rRNA from 1 species